UGAAUGUUCACAGCAAUGAGUCCAUAAUAGUUAAACUAUGGAAGGAGUCCAGAUGUCCAUAGACAGAUUAAUGGAUAAAGAAGAUGUGGGAGAUAUAUAUACAAGGGA